rnacentral:rRNA from 1 species
UGCAAGUCGAACGGUGAACACGGAGCUUGCUCUGUGGGAUCAGUGGCGAACGGGUGAGUAACACGUGAGCAACCUGCCCCUGACUCUGGGAUAAGCGCUGGAAACGGCGUCUAAUACUGGAUAUGUGACGUGACCGCAUGGUCUGCGUCUGGAAAGAAUUUCGGUUGGGGAUGGGCUCGCGGCCUAUCAGCUUGUUGGUGAGGUAAUGGCUCACCAAGGCGUCGACGGGUAGCCGGCCUGAGAGGGUGACCGGCCACACUGGGACUGAGACACGGCCCAGACUCCUACGGGAGGCAGCAGUGGGGAAUAUUGCACAAUGGGCGCAAGCCUGAUGCAGCAACGCCGCGUGAGGGACGACGGCCUUCGGGUUGUAAACCUCUUUUAGCAGGGAAGAAGCGAAAGUGACGGUACCUGCAGAAAAAGCGCCGGCUAACUACGUGCCAGCAGCCGCGGUAAUACGUAGGGCGCAAGCGUUAUCCGGAAUUAUUGGGCGUAAAGAGCUCGUAGGCGGUUUGUCGCGUCUGCUGUGAAAUCCGGAGGCUCAACCUCCGGCCUGCAGUGGGUACGGGCAGACUAGAGUGCGGUAGGGGAGAUUGGAAUUCCUGGUGUAGCGGUGGAAUGCGCAGAUAUCAGGAGGAACACCGAUGGCGAAGGCAGAUCUCUGGGCCGUAACUGACGCUGAGGAGCGAAAGGGUGGGGAGCAAACAGGCUUAGAUACCCUGGUAGUCCACCCCGUAAACGUUGGGAACUAGUUGUGGGGUCCAUUCCACGGAUUCCGUGACGCAGCUAACGCAUUAAGUUCCCCGCCUGGGGAGUACGGCCGCAAGGCUAAAACUCAAAGGAAUUGACGGGGACCCGCACAAGCGGCGGAGCAUGCGGAUUAAUUCGAUGCAACGCGAAGAACCUUACCAAGGCUUGACAUAUACGAGAACGGGCCAGAAAUGGUCAACUCUUUGGACACUCGUAAACAGGUGGUGCAUGGUUGUCGUCAGCUCGUGUCGUGAGAUGUUGGGUUAAGUCCCGCAACGAGCGCAACCCUCGUUCUAUGUUGCCAGCACGUAAUGGUGGGAACUCAUGGGAUACUGCCGGGGUCAACUCGGAGGAAGGUGGGGAUGACGUCAAAUCAUCAUGCCCCUUAUGUCUUGGGCUUCACGCAUGCUACAAUGGCCGGUACAAAGGGCUGCAAUACCGCGAGGUGGAGCGAAUCCCAAAAAGCCGGUCCCAGUUCGGAUUGAGGUCUGCAACUCGACCUCAUGAAGUCGGAGUCGCUAGUAA